rnacentral:rRNA from 1 species
GACGAACGCUGGCGGCGCGCUUAACACAUGCAAGUCGAGCGAGAACCAGGACUUCGGUCCUGGGGACAGCGGCGAACGGGUGAGUAACACGUGGAUAACCUGCCCUCGGCACCGGGAUAGCCCGGGGAAACCCGGAUUAAUACCGGAUGGCCCUUCCGGCUCACGAGCCGGUCGGAAAAGGUAGCUUCGGCCUCCGGCCGAGGAUGGGUCCGCGGCGGAUUAGCUUGUUGGUGGGGUAACGGCCUACCAAGGCGCCGAUCCGUAGCCGGUCUGAGAGGACGAUCAGCCACACUGGGACUGAGACACGGCCCAGACUCCUACGGGAGGCAGCAGUGGGGAAUCUUGCGCAAUGGGCGAAAGCCUGACGCAGCGACGCCGCGUGAGGGAGGAAGGCCUUCGGGUUGUAAACCUCUUUCAGGAGGGACGAAGCUACUCGGGUGAAUAGCCCAGAGGGUGACGGUACCUCCAGAAGAAGCCCCGGCUAACUACGUGCCAGCCGCCGCGGUAA